rnacentral:rRNA from 1 species
AGAGUUUGAUCCUGGCUCAGAUUGAACGCUGGCGGCAUGCCUUACACAUGCAAGUCGAACGGCAGCACGGACUUCGGUCUGGUGGCGAGUGGCGAACGGGUGAGUAAUACAUCGGAACAUGCCUAGUAGUGGGGGAUAACUACUCGAAAGAGUGGCUAAUACCGCAUGAGAUCCACGGAUGAAAGCAGGGGAUCGCAAGACCUUGUGCUACUAGAGCGGCCGAUGGCAGAUUAGGUAGUUGGUGGGAUAAAAGCUUACCAAGCCAACGAUCUGUAGCUGGUCUGAGAGGACGAUCAGCCACACUGGGACUGAGACACGGCCCAGACUCCUACGGGAGGCAGCAGUAGGGAAUCUUCGGCAAUGGGCGAAAGCCUGACAGAGCAACGCCGCGUGAAUGAUGAAGGCCUUCGGGUUGUAAAAUUCUGUUAUAAGGGAAGAACGACUCUAGUAGGAAAUGGCUAGAGUGUGACGGUACCUUAUGAGAAAGCCACGGCUAACUACGUGCCAGCAGCCGCGGUAAUACGUAGGUGGCGAGCGUUAUCCGGAAUUAUUGGGCGUAAAGAGCGCGCAGGUGGUUGAUUAAGUCUGAUGUGAAAGCCCACGGCUUAACCGUGGAGGGUCAUUGGAAACUGGUCAACUUGAGUGCAGAAGAGGGAAGUGGAAUUCCAUGUGUAGCGGUGAAAUGCGUAGAGAUAUGGAGGAACACCAGUGGCGAAGGCGGCUUCCUGGUCUGUAACUGACACUGAGGCGCGAAAGCGUGGGGAGCAAACCAGGAUUAGAUACCCUGGUAGUCCACGCCGUAAA